rnacentral:rRNA from 1 species
UGGUAGUNCACGCCGUAAACGCUGAGUGCUAGGUGUUAGGUCCUUUCCGGGACUUAGUGCCGACGCUAACGCAUUAAGCACUCCGCCUGGGGAGUACGACCGCAAGGUUGAAACUCAAAGGAAUUGACGGGGGCCCGCACAAGCGGUGGAGCAUGUGGUUUAAUUCGAAGCAACGCGAAGAACCUUACCAGGUCUUGACAUCCCGAUGCCCGCUCUAGAGAUAGAGUUUUUCUUCGGAACAUCGGAGACGGGUGGUGCAUGGUUGUCGUCAGCUCGUGUCGUGAGAUGUUGGGUUAAGUCCCGCAACGAGCGCAACCCUUAUUGUUAGUUGCCAUCAUUAAGUUGGGCACUCUAGCGAGACUGCCGGUAAUAAACCGGAGGAAGGUGGGGAUGACGUCAAAUCAUCAUGCCCCUUAUGACCUGGGCUACACACGUGCUACAAUGGUUGGUACAACGAGUCGCAAGCCGGUGACGGCAAGCUAAUCUCUGAAAGCCAAUCUCAGUUCGGAUUGUAGGCUGCAACUCGCCUACAUGAAGUCGGAAUCGCUAGUAAUCGCGGAUCAGCACGCCGCGGUGAAUACGUUCCCGGGCCUUGUACACACCGCCC